rnacentral:rRNA from 1 species
GUAGGGAAUAUUGGGCAAUGGUCGGAAGACUGACCCAGCCAUGCCGCGUGCAGGAAGACGGCCCUCUGGGUUGUAAACUGCUUUUAUCUGGGAAGAAAAAGGCCAUGCGUGGCAAAUUGCCGGUACCAGAUGAAUAAGCACCGGCUAACUCCGUGCCAGCAGCCGCGGUAAUACGGAGGGUGCGAGCGUUGUCCGGAUUUAUUGGGUUUAAAGGGUGCGUAGGCGGCUGAUUAAGUCAGCGGUGAAAGACUUCGGCUUAACCGGAGCAGUGCCGUUGAUACUGGUUGGCUUGAGUGUCGGAGGGGUACAUGGAAUUGAUGGUGUAGCGGUGAAAUGCAUAGAUACCAUCAGGAACACCGAUAGCGAAGGCAUUGUACUGGCCGACAACUGACGCUGAUGCACGAAAGUGUGGGGAUCGAACAGGAUUAGAUACCCCUGUAGUCC